CCUAAGGGGGGCAGCAGUGGGGAAUAUUGCACAAUGGGCGCAAGCCUGAUGCAGCCAUGCCGCGUGUGUGAAGAAGGCCUUCGGGUUGUAAAGCACUUUCAGCGGGGAGGAAGGCGUUAAGGUUAAUAACCUUGUCGAUUGACGUUACCCGCAGAAGAAGCACCGGCUAACUCCGUGCCAGCAGCCGCGGUAAUACGGAGGGUGCAAGCGUUAAUCGGAAUUACUGGGCGUAAAGCGCACGCAGGCGGUCUGUCAAGUCGGAUGUGAAAUCCCCGGGCUCAACCUGGGAACUGCAUUCGAAACUGGCAGGCUAGAGUCUUGUAGAGGGGGGUAGAAUUCCAGGUGCAGCGGUGAAAUGCGUAGAGAUCUGGAGGAAUACCGGUGGCGAAGGCGGCCCCCUGGACAAAGACUGACGCUCAGGUGCGAAAGCGUGGGGAGCAAACAGGAUUAGAUACCCGAGUAGUC
rnacentral:rRNA from 1 species